GUGGCUGUAGUUCAGUUGGUUAGAGCGUCAGAUUGUGGUUCUGAAUGUCGUGGGUUCGAGUCCCAUCAGCCACCCCA
rnacentral:tRNA from 1 species